CAUGGCUGUGCUCUGUAAGUGAAAAACAGGUUACAGUUAGGGAAUCCCUUAUAGCUAUCCAGUUUUAUAAGCAGCAGGUGAUAGAACAUCCAUUAGCCUAUAACCGCACGAGACUUGACUUGGACUCUUGCUCAGAGACUUGACUUGGACUCGAGCAUCUCUGAUUGGUGCACUCAGACAUGACUAUCUAGGCUAAGGUAAGCUAUGUAAUGUUUAACACAAUGUACAUGAUAUCCAGCAAAACUGCUUUUCUCUAUGUACAGCAUGGUGGCCAGAGAGCUUUGGAAGCAUCUUCACCCUGCCAGAUGUCUCUUGGUCUGGCUUGCUUCUCCCCUUCUUUGCCCCUCCCUGUGACUGUGGCGGCAGCAGCAUGGGGAACGUCAGCAGCAGGAAGCUGGUCAACAUGAUGGAGGACCUGCACCAGCUUUACCUCCAGCACUCUGGCCUGAAGAUCCUCUUUUUGUCUGUGACCCAGAGUGUUGGUGGAAUGCUGGUGCCAGUCAAUGAACAGUGUUAUGGCUCUAUUUGUUUUAGCUUAAAUGAUGCCAUGAUUGAGAACCUUGCAUCAGACAUGGCAGUCCUGGGUUAUAUUAAAAUGUGUGUGUGUGUGUGUGUGUGUAUGUAUAUAUAUAUGUAUAUAUAUAGUUAAUUUCACAACUAGGGCAAAUUAUGUUUUAAGUACAGUAGCUAAUUGUAUUGAAUUUGGCCUUUAGGACCCAUUUUCUUGUGCCUAAACAUAGCUGACCGUCAUGGCUAAUGUUGUUUAUUUAUGCUGCACCCCAAGGACCCCUAAGUACUCUGGACCUAUGCGGGACAUACAGUAGCUGUUACCACUUGCACAGGCCCAGUUUGUUUAUUUGAAUAAAUGUGUUUACUAUAUGUCCACAUUUGUGAACAUUUAAAAGACCCCACAUGGUUUACAUUGCAAUAAAAUUGAUUUAUAUA